rnacentral:rRNA from 1 species
UCUAAGGGCUGAACCAGCAAUUUAGAAGAAUGUAAUGUAAAAAAUAACAAAUAUUAAAAUUCUAGAUAAAAUAAUAAUUAAUGAUAGUGUUUAUCUAUAAGUCUUGACUAAUCCUCGUGCCAGCAGUCGCGGCAAUACGAGUAAGUCUAGUGUUAUUCAUCUUUAUUAGGUUUAAAACGUACCUAGAUAGUAUAUAAAGUUUAUUUAAAUACAAAUAUACUUGAGUUUGAUACGGGAGGGAUAUAUAAGUAUUGUUAGAGUAGAGAUGAAAUCCUUUGAUACUAAUAAGACUGAUAAAGGUGAAGACAAACCUCUAUGUAAAAACUGACGUUGAGGGACGAAGGCUCAGGUCGUGAAAAGGAUUAGAUACCCUUGUAGUCUGGGCAGAAAAUGAUGAAUGCCAUAGGUUAUACAAUCAAUAGUCUAUAAAUGAAAGUGUAAGCAUUCUACCUCAUGAGUAUAGCGGCAACGCCGGAAUUGAAAUCAUUAGACCGUUUCUGAAACCAGUAGUGAAGUAUGAUAUUUAAUUCGAUGGUCCACGAAAAACCUUACCAAAAUUUGAAUUAUCUGUUAUAGUUGUAUAUAACUAUAGAUAUUUUCUGCUUAAAUUUAUUUUUAGGCAAACAGGUGUUGCACGGCUGUCUUUAACCAAUGUACUGAGACUUUAAAAUUGGUGAAAUCCCUUCCUCUAAUUAAUAUUGGGGGAUUUAUAUAAGAGGGGUUAAGACAAGUCAUCAUGACCCUU